rnacentral:lncRNA from 1 species
GACACAGAAGCACAGGAGAAGAACCAUCAGAGACACAAGCAGUGACUAGGCUUACAUUGUCACAAGCAAAGGAACACCUGGGACCCGAAGAGCAGAAGUUUCUCCCCGGACCCUCUGAAUGGGCAGAAGGACUGCAGACCACUUACUUUUGAACGUCUUGCUUGCAGAACCGUAAAUAACCACUCAUAAGCUUGGGUUGUGAAAUUCUCAGAGGCAAGCUCAUCACCAGAUGUGGCCCACAGAGAGAAGAGCCCCAGCCUGGCUCUGAGUCCACAUGCAAGGAAGGGCGACCAUGCCCAGAAGAGGAGACGAAUCUCCAUUGUGACGUUGCUAGAAGAUGCUUGGUGGGACAAUGUAGAAGGUUUCCUCCCUGGUUUCAGAGCAGGCUGCUGCAGGUAGGAGGCAGACAUGCCCUCAUUGCUCUACUUACACAUGUCAUCCCUUAUGCCUCUUCUGUUGCUGUGGUGAGAGUAUAACCUCAUCCAUCACCUAUGGUGGAAAGUUUAUGCUUUCUUGUGUGCUGCCCUUGAAGGCAGGGACUGAGUCUGACUCACGGCAGUGACAGGUAUGUCAGAAACCUGCCUUACUUAUCAUCUAAUGCAAGUGUGUGUUCAUGUGUGUGCAGGUGCAUGUGUGUACAUGUGCACAUGGAGGGUAGAGAUCAGCCUCAAGUGUCGUUUCCCAGUCCAAUUUGUCGUUUCCCAGUUUUGGAGACAGCAUCUUUAUCUUUCACUGGCCUGGAGCUUGCCUGGUAGACUAGGCUGGCCAACCAGUGAGCCUUCCUGUCUCAUCUCCCCAGUGCUGGGACUACGAACACGCCACCAUGCCCAGACUUAUUUCUUUCCAUAUGGAGUUGGAGAUCAAACUCAGGCCUCCACACUUUUGAGGUAAGCAUUUGAGUAACUGAGCCGGCUCAUCAGACUAGGAUGUACUUUAUUGAAGGGUACCCUUGGUGCAAGUCAGGAAGUCCAAAGAAAGCAGCACAGGACAGGUUGCCUCUUCUGCUCUUAGAGAUGUCAUUUGCAAAAUGGGUCAAAGGAAAUAGUCUUCUCUGAAGAGACUUAGAUUUUUAUUGCUUAAAUUAUUUCACAGGAAUAACCUUAAGCCAGACCAUUUCCAAACAUCCUGGAAAUUGCUCACUUUUCUGACUCUUUCCUCUGUGUCCAAAUAGAUAGAAGUUCUGCUUCACCUACUAACUCCCCAGAGUUCACUCCUUGGUUCCUCAUUUUACAGGUUACCUCCCUCCCCCAGCUUCCACCUGCCUUUAGCAAGGGACACCUUCCAUGAUAAACCAGGCAGGCCUGGCAUUUUCCACAAUCCCCACCUGAGUCUUCUGAUAGACCUGAGGAGAGGCAAAGUUCCUCAUAGACGGAUGCCGGGAACACACAAUGCAUGGGUCAGUUUCAAGAGGGUUUCUGUGCAAAAGCCGUCCCCAUUCCAAUUCCUGUGGAGUGGACUUGACUUGGUCCGUAGCAACUGCUCUCAGAAUUCUAACCCAUUUGGAGCCCAUGAGAAGUGAACGUCUUUGCAGACCCUUGGGCUUCUGCAUGGUCUGGUUCACAGCAGAGCUCAGAAAUAUUUGGACACAAUUAUAAUGGUAAUGAAUAUUUACUGAAGUUUCAAAUACUGUUUGUCCUUAUGCUGAGCACCCUACAGCCACUCAUUAAAAACAUAUUCACCGAGAGUUUAGGCUGUUGCUUUGGACAUAGUAUGCUUAUCUUUGGGGGUGCUUGGAAUUUUCUUUUACAAAUAACAAUCUGAAUCUUGUAGCUCUCAAAUAACACUCUCAAAUAACCAGUAGUCUGUGAAGUCAUAUUGAAGGGUAUCAAGGUUUUGGGGAGGGGGAAGGCUUUCGGAUCACAUGAUUAGAUGUUUAUAGCAGCCUGAGUGUCUGUUCUUGGAUCUGCAGGGAUGCCAUGGAGGACGGCAGAGAGGACUGAGGCCUUCAGCUCCCCUGAAGCAACAUUUACUUGACAUUGUAAACCGAGGGAUGCACACUGGGGAUGGGACUCUGACCCUCUGUGAGAACAGCCCAGGAACUGUGUGUUGCAUUGCGGAAACCCUCUGAAGGGUCAGCACUGUCGAAACAAAACAAAGUCAAAAUGAAGACCCCAGGCACCCAGUUUAAUGCAAGCUGGAGUUCAGAUGUUGUCUCAGAUAUGAUUCUUAUUCAGCCAGUCAGUAUGUGUUUCCUGAAAUCUCACUGGUGUCACAGAGAGACAGCAGAGUGAUAUGCGUUGGCGGCCGGAUGACUUGAAAUGGCACUGCAAACACAAGAUGAUUUUACUUACGAAAUAUGGAGUUUUCAUAAAAUAGUUUGGGAUGAAGGAGACGGAGAAAAAGAACAAUGGGAAACCCCAGAAGACAAAACCUUUAAAAGUUCUUACGUGCUUGGUAUGCCUCUCCCUACUAAAUGUAAAAGAAAUCCCCCCAAAUAAAUAGUUUAAGAAAGUUUUGUAAACAGCAACUUAAUAAAAUUUACCCUAA